ACACACACACACACACACACACACACACACACACACACACACACACACACACACACAGUAAUUACAAGAUGUGGCACAUGAGCUGGAUUAAUUUUUUUACAUUUUGCAUCAAUCUAUAUAUACAAGAACCUGAUGGUCACUUUGACAGAGCUCCAGAGUUCCUCUGUGGAGAUGGGAGAACCUUCCAGAAGGACAACCAUCUCUGCAGCACUCCAGGCCUUUAUGGUCAGACAGAAGCCCAUCUCUGCAGCACUCCAGGCCUUUAUGGUCAGACAGAAGCCCAUCUCUGCACCACUCCAGGCCUUUAUGGUCAGACAGAAGCCCAUCUCUGCACCACUCCAGGCCUUUAUGGUCAGACAGAAGCCCAUCUCUGCACCACUCCAGGCCUUUAUGGUCAGACAGAAGCCACUCCUCAGGAAAAAGCACAUGACAGCCCGUUUGGAGUUUGUCAAGAGGCACCUAAAGGACUAUCAGACCGUGAGAAACAAGAUUCUCUGGUCUGAUGAAGCCAAGAUUGAACUCUUUGGCCUGAAUGCGAAGCGUCAACUCUGGAGGAAACCAGGCACCAUCCCUACAGUGAAGCAUGGUGGUGGAAGCAUCCCUACAGUGAAGCAUGGUGGUGGAAGCAUCCCUACAGUGAAGCAUGGUGGUGGAAGCAUCCCUACAGUGAAGCAUGGUGGUGGAAGCAUCCCUACAGUGAAGCAUGGUGGUGGAAGCAUCCCUACAGUGAAGCAUGGUGGUGGCACCAUCCCUACAGUGAAGCAUGGUGGUGGAAGCAUCCUGAUGGGCAGAUGUUUUUCAGCAGCAGGGAUUGGGAGACGAGUCAGGAUCGAGGGAAAGAUGAACGGAGUAAAGUACAGAGAGAUCCUUGAUGAAAACCUGCUCCAGAGUGUUCAGAACCUCAGACUGGGGCGAAGGUCCUAGAGGACAAUGACCCUAAGAACACAGCCAAGACAACGCAGUAGUGGCUUCGGGACAAGUCUCUGAAUGUCCGUGAGUGGCCCAGCCAGAAUAGACAGGUAUGUAAGUACAGGUAUGUUACCUCUUCUCUAUAGACAGGUAUGUAGUACAGGUAUGAUACCUCUUCUCUAUAGACAGGUAUGUAGUACAGGUAUGUUACCUCUUCUCUAUAGACAGGUAUGUAGUACAGGUAUGUUACCUCUUCUCUAUAGACAGGUAUGUAGUACAGGUAUGUUACCUCUUCUCUAUAGACAGGUAUGUAGUACAGGUAUGAUACCUCUUCUCUAUAGACAGGUAUGUAGUACAGGUAUGUUACCUCUUCUCUAUAGACAGGUAUGUAGUACAGGUAUGUUACCUCUUCUCUAUAGACAGGUAUGUAGUACAGGUAUGUUACCUCUUCUCUAUAGACAGGUAUGUAGUACAGGUAUGUUACCUCUUCUCUAUAGACAGGUAUGUAGUACAGGUAUGUUACCUCUUCUCUAUAGACAGGUAUGUAGUACAGGUAUGUUACCUCUUCUCUAUAGACAGGUAUGUAGUACAGGUAUGUUACCUCUUCUCUAUAGACAGGUAUGUAGUACAGGUAUGUUACCUCUUCUCUAUAGACAGGUAUGUAGUACAGGUAUGUUACCUCUUCUCUAUAGACAGGUAUGUAGUACA